rnacentral:rRNA from 1 species
AUUGAACGCUGGCGGCAGGCUUAACACAUGCAAGUCGAGCGAGCGGCGGACGGGUGAGUAAUGUCUGGGAAACUGCCUGGUGGAGGGGGAUAACCACUGGAAACGGUCUAUAAUCCCGCAUACCAUCAGAUGUGCCCAGAGGGGAUUAGCUAGUAGGUGGGGUAAUGGCACCCCUAGGCGACGAUCCCUAGCUGGUCUGAGAGGAUGACCAGCCACACUGGAACGGAGACACGGUCCAGACUCCUACGGGAGGCAGCAGGGGGGAAUAUUGCACAAUGGGCGCAAGCCUGAUGCAGCCAUGCCGCGUGUGUGAAGAAGGCCUUCGGGUUGUAAAGCACUUUCAGCGAGGAGGCGUUACUCGCAGAAGAAGCACCGGCUAACUCCGUGCCAGCAGCCGCGGUAAUAC